UACGUAGGUGGCAAGCGUUGUCCGGAUUUACUGGGCGUAAAGAGCGCGCAGGCGGUCGUUCAAGUCGCGUGUGAAAGCCCCCGGCUCAACUGGGGAGGGUCACGCGAUACUGAUCGACUCGAAGGCAGGAGAGGGAAGUGGAAUUCCCGGUGUAGUGGUGAAAUGCGUAGAUAUCGGGAGGAACACCAGUGGCGAAGGCGACUUCCUGGCCUGUUCUUGACACUGAGGCGCGAAAGCUAGGGGAGCAAACGGG
rnacentral:rRNA from 1 species